rnacentral:ncRNA from 2 species
AAUUUUGUGGUUCGAAACCAUCCCACAUAAAAAAACUAGGAGUGA